rnacentral:rRNA from 1 species
AAAUCUGGAUCAAGCUGAAAAUUGAAACACUGAACAACGAGAGUUGUUCGUGAGUCUCUCAAAUUUUCGCAACACGAUGAUGAAUCGAAAGAAACAUCUUCGGGUUGUGAGGUUAAGCGACUAAGCGUACACGGUGGAUGCCCUGGCAGUCAGAGGCGAUGAAGGACGUGCUAAUCUGCGAUAAGCGUCGGUAAGGUGAUAUGAACCGUUAUAACCGGCGAUUUCCGAAUGGGGAAACCCAGUGUGAUUCGUCACACUAUCAUUAACUGAAUCCAUAGGUUAAUGAGGCGAACCGGGGGAACUGAAACAUCUAAGUACCCCGAGGAAAAGAAAUCAACCGAGAUUCCCCCAGUAGCGGCGAGCGAACGGGGAGGAGCCCAGAGCCUGAAUCAGUGUGUGUGUUAGUGGAAGCGUCUGG